CCAGCAGCCGCGGUAAUUCCAGCUCCAAUAGCGUAUAUUAAAGUUGUUGCAGUUAAAAAGCUCGUAGUUGAACUUCUGUACGUGCUCUGUUCUGGCUCCGGUCAAGCAGUUGCGCGUGCAUCCGCUUGCAAACUAGUCUCGUCCUUAACUGGUCGUUCUAGGGAGCAAGCCCUUUACUUUGAAAAAAUUAGAGUGUUUCAGGCAGGCAAUGGCUCGAAUACAUUAGCAUGGAAUAAUGGAAUAGGACUUUUGUCCAUUUGGUUGGUUAUUGGACAUAAGUAAUGAUUAACAGGGACAGUUGGGGGCAUUAGUAUUUAAUUGUCAGAGGUGAAAUUCUUGGAUUU
rnacentral:rRNA from 1 species